AGGACUAUAAGAAAUGGGCCCUUCUGGAAGAAACUUCUUGGAAACAAAAGUCAAGAGAAAUCUGGUUAAGAAAACGUGAUAAAAAUACCAGGUACUUCCACAAAAUGGCCAAUGCUAGGGCAAGGAGAAACUUCCUGUCUAAAAUUGGAGUGAAUGAGGUGUCUCUCUCUUCUAAUCAAUGUUUUAAAAACCGGACUGGACCGGCCGGUCGGACCGGUUCAACCGUCGACCGGUCACAAAUCCGGUCCGGCUUGCCCUAUUGAACCGUUUAACGAUCAAACCGGUCACGAACCGCCUAAACCGGCGGUCGGACCGGUGACCCGGUGGAACCGGACGGUUCUAAUCGAACCGAACAGUUCCAAUUAGCCACCCUUUUAAAGGCUUUCUUAUAUAAAAGGCUUGGGCAAAAGCCCAUGCUGGGCCUUGUCUCAUAAUGACACAGCCCACACCCCACUCAAUCAAAUUAUGGGCUUAGUCUUGAGCCCAACAGAUGAGGUAAUGCAUUGCCCAUUUGCCCCUUAAUGUGGAUGGCUUUUAUAGGCAUCCUUUGCAUCCUCAUUUCACUUGGAAUCCGAUGUGGGAUUGCUAACCAACCUAAUCAAUGAAAAAAAAAAUAGCAAGUCCCACCCGUGAGGAUUUGAACCUUGGACCCCAAGGUCUAUAGGCAUCCCAAGACACCACUCAGCUACACAGCUUUUGUUAUCUUAUAUGCAAACAAAAUAAUAUAUAUUGGAUUUUAAAUUUUUUUUAUAAUAUUAAAUAAAAAUAAAAUAAUAUUUUUAAAAAUGAUAAAAUUAGUUUAAAUUUUCAUUUUUAAUAUAUUCACAUUUAAAUAUUUUACAUAUUCCAUUUAAUAAAAUUAAAAAUAUUAAUAUGAUUUAAUUUGAUAAUAUUAUUGAUUUUUAAUUUAUUCAUAUAUAUUUUAAAAUUUUUAUAAUUAUUUUUUAUUUUAAUAAUAUAUAAAUUAUAUAUUUAUGACGUCACCGGUUCGACAGCGAUUCGACCGCAGGUCCGACCGGUGAACCGUGAACCGGUAACUUUUCCGGUUCGAUCACCGGUCCGGUUCUGAAAACAUUGCUUCUAAUGAUGAAAUCAAAGAAGGAGUUUGCAGAGCCUACCAGUCUCUCCUCUCAGAAUCAGGGAAUUGGAGGCCUAGUAUUAAUGGUCUUAACUUCAAGGAGCUGGG
rnacentral:lncRNA from 1 species